CCUACGGGGGGCUGCAGUGAGGAAUAUUGGUCAAUGGACGAGAGUCUGAACCAGCCAAGUAGCGUGAAGGAUGACUGCCCUAUGGGUUGUAAACUUCUUUUAUAUGGGACUAAAAUGUUCCACGUGUGGGAUUUUGUAUGUACCAUAUGAAUAAGGAUCGGCUAACUCCGUGCCAGCAGCCGCGGUAAUACGGAGGAUCCGAGCGUUAUCCGGAUUUAUUGGGUUUAAAGGGAGCGUAGGUGGAUUGUUAAGUCAGUUGUGAAAGUUUGCGGCUCAACCGUAAAAUUGCAGUUGAAACUGGCAGUCUUGAGUACAGUAGAGGUGGGCGGAAUUCGUGGUGUAGCGGUGAAAUGCUUAGAUAUCACGAAGAACUCCGAUUGCGAAGGCAGUUCACUGGACUGCAACUGACACUGAGGCUCGAAAGUGUGGGUAUCAAACAGGAUUAGAUACCCGAGUAGUC
rnacentral:rRNA from 1 species